GUCCUACGGGAGGCAGCAGUGAGGAAUAUUGGUCAAUGGGCGGGAGCCUGAACCAGCCAAGUCGCGUGAGGGAAGACGGUCCUAUGGAUUGUAAACCUCUUUAGGCGGGGAGCAAUGCCGGACACGUGUGCCCGGAGGGAGAGUACCCGCAGAAUAAGCAUCGGCUAACUCCGUGCCAGCAGCCGCGGUAAUACGGAGGAUGCGAGCGUUAUCCGGAUUUAUUGGGUUUAAAGGGUGCGUAGGCGGAUUUUUAAGUCAGCGGUAAAAUGUCCGGGCUCAACCCGGGCGGGCCGUUGAAACUGGGG
rnacentral:rRNA from 1 species